GCCGGGCGUGGUGGCUCAUGCCUGAAAUCCCAGCACUUUGGGAGGCCGAGGCGGGUGGAUCACCUGAGGUCAGGAGUUCUAGACCAGCCUGGCCAACAUGGUGAAACCUCGUCUCUA
rnacentral:SRP_RNA from 1 species